rfam:Pseudomonas putida strain TASWS0946 Contig185, whole genome shotgun sequence.
GCGUUCUUGUCGGGGUGCCUUGCGUUGAGGCUGAGAUCGGAUAAUUCCGGAUCCCGUUGAACCUGAUCAGGUUAGCGCCUGCGUAGGGAACAAGAUUGCUCGUCUC